rnacentral:lncRNA from 1 species
AGAAUAUUGCUGCAGUACAGAAAGGGGCUCUCAGUUUCUGAGCGAGGAGCUUCUGUAACAUCCAGAUGGAGACUAGAUUUGUUAGACUGGUGUAUUCCAGGGAACAAGAAUCGUUUUCUUUUGCGAACAUGCAUCCUGUCACUCACUCAGUUCUUCUGAUCAUCUUAAUAUUAGGAGGGAUCAAUGGUGACUCAGUGACCCAAACAGAAGGCCCAGUGACUGUCUCAGAGGGGGCUCUCAUGACCCUGAACUGCACUUACCAGACUGCUAGUAUUUCUCCCUAUCUUUUCUGGUACAUCCAGCAUCUCAACAAAGCUCCUCAACUCCUCCUGAAGGGCUUAACAGCAGACAAGAAGGUAGAGCAUGAAGGUUUUCAGGCCACUCUUGUUAAGAGUGACAGGUCCUUCCACCUGCAGAAACGGGCAGUGCAAACAUCAGACUCGGCUGUGUACUACUGUGCUCUGAGUGACACAGUGACACAGGGCUGCGGGGGAGCCGAGCACAAACCCAGGUGCAGAUGGGGCUCUGGCUGUGGGCAGCCCUGCGAGGGGUGUUGUUUCUCUCUCCAGAGGUACUGUCAAAGCACUUCCAGCUCUGAUACUCAGAACCAAGGACACUGGAAAUUCUUGGAUUGCCCUGCGGAGAAAUCUGGGGCAGGACAGUGUAAAAGAGGAACCUGAAGCGCUUUUCUCCCGAAAUGCCUGGUUUCAGCCCAUCCACAUUUCCCCAGAUGGCAUAAAUCUCUUAAAGUGACAUUAACUCUUCAAUGACAAUUCAGAUUAUAUAUGCUGAAAUAUUUCACAAUGUGUUAAGGAAAAUUCCAGGGCACAUUGUUGAUGGAUGACUGUGUGACCUGGAGGCUAGUCUCUGGUUUUUAAAAUUCAGGCCAUGAUUGUGUAUCCUGCUGAGUUUCCCUGCAGACACUCUAUCUUCAGUGACUGGAGCUUUAAUUCUCUCUUUCCUUGACUUUUCCAUCCCUUCCGGUUGCUCCAGAAAUGCUGCUGCCUAAGUAAGUUCCAGGAGGAGAGUUUCUGAGAAGAUAUUCCUUCUGUCAAUGGCCCUGUGGAUGAGAGCAGCCCACUCUGUAAAUAUCGCAGGCGUUGUAUGUAUUGUUUGUAUUCAAACUAGGCACAGGAUAGUCUCUUUAUUAGUAACCUCAUCUCAUCGAAAUGAAUCCUAGACAAUGUUCAAAUUACCAUACAGUUGUACUCAUUUCACAUGUUAGCAAGAUUAUGCUCAAAAUCCUUCAAGCUAGGCUUCAGCAGUACAUGAACCAAGAAUUUCUGUUGUAGAAGCUGGGUUUAGGAAAGGCAGAGGAACCAGAGCAGAUCCAAUUUCUGCUGGAUCACAGAAAAAGUAACGGGAUUUAAAAAAUCUACUUCUGCUUCAUUGACUACAUUAAAGCCUUUGGCUGUGUGGAUCACAAUAAACUUGGAAAAUUCUUAAAGAGAUGGGGAUAC